GUUUUGUUCUGAAGAACAUGACUAGAUUGUGGAAAAUAUUCUCUAAAGGAAUGAACCAUAAUUCAUUAUUUGAUUGUAACACUGAACAUCAAUUGAAGUUUACUAUCUGUAAUAUGGAGCAUAUUGAAAAUACUAAUAAAAUAAUCUUUGCUUGAUAAAGAAAAAACCAUGGGAACAAUUAAACCUAUGAGGAGUACAUAUAUUUUCACAUGAUUUAAUUUACUUGAAUUGAAGGGGAAAAAAACAAAAAAGGUAAAUUGUAGUGAUUGCCAAUGACUGGCAACAGCCAACAGCAACCAAUAAGUUCUGGCGGUAGUCUGUGGUAGACAUUGAAUUAAUGAGUAAUCGAG
rnacentral:misc_RNA from 1 species